rnacentral:sRNA from 1 species
UAGUCUUUGUUCUUAUCGAAUAUGCAGUUCUGUUUUAGUUUUUUUUUUAUGUGUUCAUCUCUGUUUUGAUUUUGUUGCCGAGAAAUUUUACUAAAACUAGUAAAACUAAGCUU